UCCGUGGACCAGAUCGUUAGAACCGCACCUGAGCCAGGGAUCAGAUCGUCGGAACCCUCGCCGUCCCUCCCUUCCACCCAAAACACGCUGUCUGAGCAGGUCCUUGCGGCGGCGCUCGUUCUACACCCAUGGUGACCGGAAUAAUGGAGGAUUCCAGGGUUGAGUUGCUCCAUGCCUGACAGGUUCCAUUACGAGAGGAGUUCGCUGACAACCUUGAGCAAGCAGAUCUGGUUUCUCUAGUCUUGUUGCCCAACAACGGAGCUGGCCUUGCCAUUCCUGAAGACUCGAAUGUUGGGUCUGGGUGCGCUCAGCAGCUGGCGAUGGGACUGAAAGGGCAGGAGCUAGCCGCCGUCGUCGCCCGGAUGCAUCUCUGACGAGGCCGGCGCAGUCGACUGAAAUAGUCAACCUAGAGGCACCAGACUAGACUAAAAAUGUGAUCCCAUAUCCUACAGAUGUUGGUCUGUAUAUUCAGCUUUGACUGCAUGUUCUUCUGCACAUCCAUGUUCUGUCUGAAAAAUGUUUUACUUCGCAAAAAUCGUUAGGAUGGAAGACCCUAUCAAGAAGUAAGCCGUGGCACUGCAGUCCAUGCUUGAUGCCUAGUUUAACAGUCAGAAGCACUUUCAACAUACUGUUAAUGUUGUUGAAGUAGAAGUGUAGAACUAAUAGACAGCAAAAUUACUCUUGUAUUUGAACUCGUAGAGUGAAUAAUGAACGUCUGCAACAGGUCACGGCUGGGCAGUGCGCCACCAGACAGGACACCAUGUCCCUCUCGAAUGAGCGCUCUGGAGCAAUCGACUUGCAACGCAGAGGAACCUACAAAAGAUUUAGUACGCCUUACUCUUGACCCGAGUUUCAAUUCAUUGGGUGAGGCACACGACUUCUACAAUCUAUAUUCUUGGGAUGUCUUUGGUAUCAGAUAUGGUAAAAGAAGACUAAAUGCCGAGAGGACGAAAUGCAUGCAGGAGAUCGUAUGUGGUUGCUCGGGCAAACCAGAGGUAGAGAAUAGUAGGUCAUGCAGAUGCGAGUGUCCAGCGGACAACAACUGAUACAUCACAGAGCACCAUGAGAGCCGCAACCAUUCAAUGUCCUUAACAAUGGGUGAGUAGGUGCAGUGGCCGUCGCACAAGCACAUCGACUCAUACACAAGAUUUGAUAAAGCAACCUAGGGAAAACAAUGCGAAACUUUGGAAGGUGUACAACAUAAUUGGGAGCUUCGUUGGUUCGGUCGAGAAGGUGCCCGUCAUGAAGAGGACCCUAAGAAACAUUUGCGGGAAGGGUGGAGCUAUCAGGAGGACCAAUUUGGUGAUAUAUAGAGCGGCAUGCAAGUAAACUUUACACCAGGGCUAUGUUUGAGGAGUUUUGGUCGCCUCCUAAUCGAAGGGACGUUGUACAAUGUCAAGGAAGGAGAGAAGAAGAGGAAAUAUGUUAAAAAGCACGACAAUGUAGCUAAAAGAGAAAAAUGGAGCAGAGUCGAGUACGAGGUGACCAUAAGUGAAGAUCAGUCAGAGUUUACGUGCGAGUCUGGCCAGUUCGAGCAUACUGGGAUGUUAUGCAACCAUGUCUUAAGGGUCAUGGAUAUACUUCAUCUGGAGAAGAUCCCUGCAAUGCAUAUACUCAAGUACUCAAGCGGUGGACCAAGGACGCGAGGGACAUACUUCCCCAACACCUGGUUCAGUAUCAGAAGGACAAUUCAGUUAACUUGUCGUUCACAUGCAGGAACUCGAUGCUCUAUCUGAAAGCCAUGGAAGUCGUGCGGAUAGGCGAUUCGAAUGCAGAAUCAUUCGAGCACAUGUUUGCUGGUCUGGAAGCUUUGUUGGUGAGUGGCACACCUUUAGCUGAGAAGAGGGAUGCUUGGGGUUUGAGCAUCGGAUAGCAGGUUUGGCCACUGGUAGACUUCCUGGCAAUGGAGUGGUUGCGUUUGUGGGGGGAGACGAUGCUGACAAAUGCAAAAGUGGUGGGAAAUCUGUUAGUGUGAAUGCCCUUGAAGGUCUAGCAACUCCAGAUAAGCAUAGUGGGGUCGGCAGACUGACUAAUAGCAGGGAGAAGGCGCCUUAUGAGGGUUAGAGUAGAUGUAGCAGGUUCUUCAACAUUUUUCGGCGCGAGGGGCACAAGCGAAUUACCUGCCCCGAAAGAGGAGAUGCCCCCAAGAAACCACGGAAGCCAGGGAUAUGCAAGAACUGCAGCAUGGAAGGGCAUCGCCGGAACACUUGCAUGAGGCUGCUCGGUGCUGCUGAGAAAUGAGUUCCGAAGUUUUAAUUUGUAAUCUGUAUUGUAGUACCUUUCAGGAUUUUCUAGUGUGUUUCAGUGAGCAUUGCUCCAUGCUUGUUCCUCAAUUACGAGAGGCAUCUUGCAUAUUGUACCAGUAGACUACCAAGUUUG